rnacentral:lncRNA from 1 species
CGGAAAUACCGUAACGUUUCCGAUUUUGGUUCUGUUGUUAGGGAUUUAGUUGUGACGUUAUUUAAAUUAUGACGUCAUAUGCAAUGUAAACAAAGAAACGCUAUCAUCAGGUAACGUUUUUCAUAUCAAGGAAUUAUUAAAAAUGAAAUUGGUAUUGCGCGUUCCUUCCUAUUUUAUACUAGACUGAUAAAUAUAUAUUUUACUCAAAGUUUCAUACAAACGAGACCGGAAAAAGGAAGUACAUUGUACAUUUCUGCGCAGGUCCGGGAUUUCAAAACACGACAAAAAAAAUUUGAACGAUUUUGAGUUCAUUAGUACAAUGAAAAAUUCGGGAAAUUUUCCCGUAUUUUUUUUUUAUUGAAUUUUCUACUGUUAUUGGGGACUCCGUCCCCAUAUUACAUAAUUAUCAACAUAUCAAAUUAAGGUAUACUACUUUUAUAGUCGUCUUUCGUUUAGACGGUUGCAACCUUCUUGACAGAAUUACAAAAUAAUGUUAACAUAUAAAAGGUACAUACAAUCAUCAUGAUCAUGUAGAUUUUUGAAACAUUGAAUUUUUGGUGGAGAAGAUCAUCGAACAUGUUAAUGUUAUUGAAACUACUACCCACACACAUGGUACAUGAUAUCAC